AGAGUUUGAUCCUGGCUCAGAAUGAACGCUGGCGGCAGGCCUAACACAUGCAAGUCGAACGGCAGCACAGUGUGUAGCAAUACACAUGGGUGGCGAGUGGCGGACGGGUGAGUAACGCGUGGGAAUCUGCCCUAUAGUGGGGGACAACCCGACGAAAGUCGGGCUAAUACCGCAUACGCCCUACGGGGGAAAGGCUUCGGCCGCUAUUGGAUGAGCCCGCGUCGGAUUAGCUAGUUGGUGAGGUAAUGGCUCACCAAGGCGACGAUCCGUAGCUGGUCUGAGAGGACGAUCAGCCACACUGGGACUGAGACACGGCCCAGACUCCUACGGGAGGCAGCAGUGGGGAAUAUUGCACAAUGGGCGAAAGCCUGAUGCAGCAAUGCCGCGUGUGUGAAGAAGGCCUGCGGGUUGUAAAGCACUUUCGGUAGGGAAGAUAAUGACGGUACCUACU
rnacentral:rRNA from 1 species